UAGAUGAAAGCCAAAAUAGAGGCGCCUAGCUGUUAAUUAGGAAAAUGUAAGUUACUUUACUCAUUUAG
rnacentral:tRNA from 1 species